rnacentral:rRNA from 1 species
UACGUAGGGGGCGAGCGUUGUCCGGAUUUAUUGGGCGUAAAGCGUGCGUAGGCGGCUGCGCAAGUCGGUUGUGAAACCCCGGGGCUCAACCCCGGAACUGCCUCCGAUACUGCGUGGCUAGAGGUAGGUAGGGGAGAUCGGAAUUCCUGGUGUAGCGGUGAAAUGCGCAGAUAUCAGGAGGAACACCGGUGGCGAAGGCGGAUCUCUGGGCCUUACCUGACGCUCAGGCACGAAAGCUAGGGGAGCGAACAGG